GGAACGAACGCUGGCGGCAUGCCUAACACAUGCAAGUCGAACGAGACCCCCGUCUUCGGAUGGCGGGUCUAGUGGCGCACGGGUGCGUAACGCGUGGGAAUCUGCCCUUAGGUUCGGAAUAACAGUUAGAAAUGACUGCUAAUACCGGAUAAUGACGUAAGUCCAAAGAUUUAUCGCCUAGGGAUGAGCCCGCGUAAGAUUAGCUAGUUGGUGGGGUAAAGGCCUACCAAGGCAACGAUCUUUAGCUGGUCUGAGAGGAUGAUCAGCCACACUGGGACUGAGACACGGCCCAGACUCCUACGGGAGGCAGCAGUGGGGAAUAUUGGACAAUGGGCGAAAGCCUGAUCCAGCAAUGCCGCGUGAGUGAUGAAGGCCUUAGGGUUGUAAAGCUCUUUACCCGGGAUGAUAAUGACAGUACCGGGAGAAUAAGCUCCGGCUAACGUCCGUGCCAGCAGCCGC
rnacentral:rRNA from 1 species